AUUCUAUGAAGUCUGAAUUCCUCUAUUGAUUACAAGGUCUAUUCCUAUCCAUCAGAGUCACACUACACCCAAGCAGUACCUUUCAUACGGUCCAGGGUGUUGAAUCUGAAUUAACUGAUUUUGUCCAUCAGGAAAAGUUAACUUACACCAACCUAAAUUGAGACCUCGAUUUACCUUAAGAAGCAAGGGGGAAAGAAACGUCAGAAGUUAAAAUUCUCUUCUGGGUGAUAUCUGCAUCAGUUCCAGACAUAUUGCUGAUUUUAUUACGAAAACGAAGUGCUAAAGACAAAGGAUAUUCCCAUUCCUCCGGACAGGAGGCCACUGACCAGCACUGCUUUACCCAUGUGUAUACACACGUGUCUUUUGUCCCAGGUGAAGACAGCGCCUCCCUCCCUUCAGUUCCAU